rnacentral:lncRNA from 1 species
CAAAUUCAAAGUAUAACUGAAUUAGGAGAUUAUGAUGAAAAAGUCAAAUGAACUUACAAAACAAAAAGUGUUAUCGUUGGUUAAAAUCGAAAUGAUCAUAUGGAGUUUAUAAAUUAUAAUUGGUAACAUUUCGUAGAAAACUGUAUGUGAAAAGUUUAUACAUAUAAUAUGCAGGUGACACACAAAAACUACUGCUGCCUAUCUGAUCUGCAGAUUAUAUUAAGUGUGGCAAAUUACAUUUAAUCAAGUUUUUGGCAACAUAAUUUUGUGUUUGUGACAAUAUUGUGACGAUAUAUCGGCUUAAUUGGAAAUGUUAGAACUAAAUUCAGCAAAAUCAGAGUAUAAGCCAUUCACAAGUUUCAGAAAAGUGCUUAUUAUACUUCAAUCAAAAUCACCUAUCAUUGCAAACCAAGUACGAUAACUGUGACCAGAAUGAAACCGUA